rnacentral:rRNA from 1 species
AUAUCAGUCAUGCAUAGCAUAUCAAUAAGGCGGAGGAAAAGAAACUAACAAGGAUUCCCUUAGUAACGGCGAGUGAAGCGGGAAGAGCUCAAAUUUGAAAUCUUCAAGGUUUUACCUUGACGAAUUGUAGUUUAAAGAAGUGUUUUCUGUUGAAGUUUUGGUAAAAGUUCUUUGGAAUAGGACAUCAUAGAGGGUGAGAAUCCCGUAUUUGACCAUUACUUUCAGCUUCGUGAUACACUUUCAAAGAGUCGGAUUGUUUGGGAAUGCAGGUCCAAAAUGGGUGGUAAAUUUCAUCUAAAGCUAAAUAUUGGCGAGAGACCGAUAGCGAACAAGUACCGUGAGGGAAAGAUGAAAAGAACUUUGAAAAGAGAGUUAAACAGUACGUGAAAUUGUCAAAAGGGAGCGUUUGACACCAGUGUUGUUUUCUCGAAAAUCAAUUAAAAAGAGUUGGAUUUUGUGUUGUAUUGACUGUAUCAGCUUUCUUCACUCUUUUCCAGCUUUUUUUAAUGCACUUUUCGUUUAACAAGUCAACAUCAGUUUCUUUUGUUGUAAAAAGGUCAUUGGAAGGUGGCUUUCUCUUCGGAGAAAGUGUUUAUAGCCUUUGACUCAUGCAAUCGGAGAGACUGAGGUCUGCAGCGUAGAUCCUUCGGGGUUAGAUACAUUUGUGCUAAGUUAUAGCUUUUCAUAGACAACUUGUUGACUAUGUUUAGUCUUGUAGCUUACUCGCUUAUGCUAUCUUACCUACGCUUAGGAUGUUGAACUCUAUCACACACAG